ACUCAAAUGAAUUGACGGGGACCCGCACAACCAGUGGAGCGUGUGGUUCAAUUCGAUACGAAACGAAAGACCUCACCAGGGUUUGACAUGCUAGCGUCCUAUUUCCCAGAAACGGGAGAAAUUCGCAAGAAGGCUAGCACAGGUGUUGCAUGGCUGUCGUCAGUUCGUGCCGUGAGGUGUUCCCUUAAGUGGGGAAACGAACGCAACCCCCAUCCAAUGUUAUAUAUUCAUUGGAAACAGAGGACUCAUUUUUGAGUCGAGGAAGGAGGGGUAGAUGUCAAGUCCGCAUGGCCUUUAUACCCUGGGCAACACACACACUACAAUGGCGAAUAACAACGAGUCGCAAGCACGCGAGUGCAAGCCAAUCUCUUAAAUUUCGCCUCAGUUCAGAUCGGAGUCUGCAACUCGACUCCGUGAAGCCGGAAUUGGUAGUAAUCGCAGGUCAGCAAACUGCGGUGAAUACGUUCUCGGGUCUUGUACACACCGCCCGU
rnacentral:rRNA from 1 species